AGUAAUGCUUAGGAUCUGCCCAGUAGUGGGGGACAACAGUCGGAAACGGCUGCUAAUACCGCAUACGCCCUACGGGGGAAAGCGGGGGAUCUUCGGACCUUGCGCUAUUGGAUGAGCCUAAGUCGGAUUAGCUAGUUGGUGGGGUAAAGGCCUACCAAGGCGACGAUCCGUAGCUGGUCUGAGAGGAUGAUCAGCCACAUCGGGACUGAGACACGGCCCGAACUCCUACGGGAGGCAGCAGUGGGGAAUAUUGGACAAUGGGGGCAACCCUGAUCCAGCCAUGCCGCGUGUGUGAAGAAGGCUUUCGGGUUGUAAAGCACUUUCAGCGAGGAGGAAGGCCUUAAAGUUAAUACCUUUAAGGAUUGACGUUACUCGCAGAAGAAGCACCGGCUAACUCCGUGCCAGCAGCCGCGGUAAUACGGAGGGUGCAAGCGUUAAUCGGAAUUACUGGGCGUAAAGCGCGCGUAGGUGGUUUGGUAAGCGAGAUGUGAAAGCCCCGGGCUUAACCUGGGAACGGCAUUUCGAACUGUCAGACUAGAGUGUGGUAGAGGGUAGUGGAUUUCCUGUGUAGCGGUGAAAUGCGUAGAUAU
rnacentral:rRNA from 1 species